ensembl:lncRNA
GGCUUAGAAUGGAGAAAAUCAGGAAUUUGAAAAUUCCUUUUUCUCAGGCUUUCUGUUUGGGUUAUAACCAAUUAUAAACCCUCCAGUUAUAAACAAGGUCCUUCUAGAAUCAGAGAAAUAAGAACAGGCUGGCCUGCCUCUGUCAACAGUGCCCUGAAGAGAGGCACACAGGUGCUCCCUGGAAAACAGAGUUUGCGGUGACAAAGUUCCUUGGAGCUAAGCCUGAUCUAGGCCUGUCUGUCCUGGGGGCUGGAACUCACCACCGAUCUGCCCAGCAGGGCCCCUGCAUCAGCGCCCUGGGACGGGGAGGGACCCCACCCACUCCCAGGCCACUCACACAGCCCUCAACCCGGGUGAUGCUCAUCAAAGGCAAACAGGGAGCCAGCCAAGCGGACACACUCGUGUAUCAUCAUUAUUACCAAAGCUAUUAACACUGAGCACGGUGUGUGUGUGGGUGGCUGACGGCCCAGCCCCACAACAAGCUGGUGUUGCCAGACUGCAGCCAUCCCCUGUCCCACAGCCAAAGGCCCAGAGGCCCCCUCCUGGAUCAGCAGCGUGGAUCAAAGACGCUGACAGCCGGGGAAAGUACAUCACCAGCAGAGAUGGAGCAGGGCUUCCUUCUUUGGUCCGCUGGUCCUCCUGAGAUGGAGCCACGGAGGACAGCAUCUCCCCUAAAGAUCAGGAACCAGGAAGAGGAAAGGCCUGCUGGUGAACUGUAACCCACACAGCCUGGAACUCAAGGACUGGGCAUCUCCAGACACCAGGAUCUGGCCCUGUCCCAUCUACUCCCUGAACUCAGGGGGAAAUCCCAGAGCUUUUAUCUAAUAUGUUCAUGUGGGUUUCCUCUCUGGAGAGGCUGCCAGGUCAGUCUGACUUUGUCAGCAUCCAUAGCUUGUUCUGGCAUCAAGCCGCAUCCCCUGGACCUUUGGUUCAUCCAGAACAGCAGAGAUGAAGCCUCUUCACCCCUCAGUGCUGGGCACUAGGCAGGCCUGGCUCCACUAGACUCCAUCACUGAACUUGAUGCCCAAGUUCCUGUUUAAUUUAGAAUGUCCGAGGGUAAAGCCAAGGCCAAGGUAUUUUUCUUUCUUUCUUUUUUUGGCUGCUCAGCAUGCGGGAUCUUAGUUCCCUGUCUGGGGUUGGAACCCACUCUCCCUGCAUUGGAAGCAUGGGAUCUUAACCACUGGCCAACCAGGGAAGUCCCCUACAGGUAUUUUUCUUAGAAAGCUCUCCAGGUGAUUCCCUUGUGCAGCCAGGCUUGAGAACCACAAGGUGGGAGAAUAAUGGUAUGACCUGGGGGAAGACCAUGGGCUGAGUGCCUCAAUAUUGCUUCUCCAUUAUUUUUCCCAUCCUGCUACACGGUAUUGGAACAUCAUGCCUCUCUUCUCAGUGUUCUAUUCUAAAACAGAACGUAUGUUCCCUUCAUCUUUUCUAUUCUGCAGUAUUGAGCUGAUCUUUUUAUAGCAGUCUUGGUUUCUUUCCUUUUUAUUAUUUCGUUCAUUCAUGUAUUUGUCCAACAUUGAAUGAAUACCUGCUACAACAGGCAAUGUGCCAGCGGCUGGGGACAUAGC